UACGUAGGGGGCAAGCGUUGUCCGGAUUUAUUGGGCGUAAAGAGCGUGUAGGCGGCCUGAAAGGUCAGCUGUGAAAACUCGAGGCUCAACCUCGAGAUGUCGGUUGAAACCAUCUGGCUAGAGUCCGGAAGAGGAGAGUGGAAUUCCCGGUGUAGCGGUGAAAUGCGCAGAUAUCGGGAAGAACACCCGUGGCGAAGGCGGCUCUCUGGGACGGUACUGACGCUGAGACGCGAAAGCGUGGGGAGCGAACAGG
rnacentral:rRNA from 1 species